rnacentral:rRNA from 1 species
CACCGCGGUUAAACGGGAGACCCAAGUUGAUAGACAACGGCGUAAAGCGUGGUUAAAGUAUUAAUUAAAUAGGGUCAAAUAGCUUCUAAGCAGUCAAAUACUAUCGAAGCCACAAAGCACACUCACGAAAGUAACCCUAGUACCCCUGACCCCACGAAAGCCAUAACA